rnacentral:rRNA from 1 species
CAGUCGCCACGGGAAUACGUAGGUGGCAAGCGUUGUCCGGAAUUAUUGGGCGUAAAGGGCUCGCAGGCGGACUUUUAAGUCAGGGGUGAAAUCCCGGGGCUCAACCCCGGAACUGCCUUUGAUACUGGAAGUCUUGAGUAUGGUAGAGGUGAGUGGAAUUCCGAGUGUAGAGGUGAAAUUCGUAGAUAUUCGGAGGAACACCAGUGGCGAAGGCGGCUCACUGGACCAUUACUGACGCUGAGGUGCGAAAGCGUGGGGAGCAAACAGGAUUAGAUACCCCCGUAGUCCCUGUCUCUUAUAA